UACGGAGGAUGCGAGCGUUAUCCGGAUUUAUUGGGUUUAAAGGGUGCGUAGGCGGGCUGUUAAGUCAGCGGUCAAAUGUCGGGGCUCAACCCCGGCCUGCCGUUGAAACUGGUGGCCUCGGGUGGGCGAGAAGUAUGCGGAAUGCGUGGUGUAGCGGUGAAAUGCAUAGAUAUCACGCAGAACUCCGAUUGCGAAGGCAGCAUACCGGCGCCCGACUGACGCUGAGGCACGAAAGCGUGGGUAUCGAACAGG
rnacentral:rRNA from 1 species